rnacentral:rRNA from 1 species
GGAAAAGAAAUCAACCGAGAUUCCGUAAGUAUUGGCGAAAGAAAGCGGAAAAGACAACGCAAAAACUCUAUCAAACAGAACAAGGUGGGAUCCUUGACCAAAGAUGGUGAUAGUCCAGUAUUCUUUGAAAGGUUUUUGGAAUUUGAAGUAAAACAAAUCAAAUUGUUUGAAUAAAAGGAGGCCCACCUUCUUUGUCUAAAUAUAUUGUUAAGACCGAUAGUGAACAAGUACCGUGAGGGAAAAGUGAAAAGAACCCUAGAAAAGGGAGUGAAAAAGAUCCUGAAAUUUAAAACGUACAAGCAGUCAAACAAAUCAUGGAAUUUGUGUGGCGUACCUUUUGCAUAAUGGGU